AGAUACAUUACCCAACCCAUCAUCUAAAGUAGAAUGUAAGCAUAUCCUGUAUUUGGGAAUAUGAUAUGUUACUUCCUGCUCAGAAAACAGUGAGAGCUUAACCAACACAGGCCACAGUCUUGCACAAAAUUGCCAAGGGUGUGUCUCCACACAUCUCUAUUUAGAUGUGUAAAAUCAGUAGCUACCAGGAACUGUAUGGGUGCAUUUACAACAUAAUAGUGACCCUUUGCAAGAUUUUAUCAGUGCCUGUCUUUAAAAAUAUAACUAAAAUGACUUUAUCUCAGUUUCAUUCCUUCUGAACUUUCUCCUCCCUCUAGCUUUUUAAAAAAGCUUCCCUGUGAAAAUUGUUUCUGCUGCAGUCUUUGAGGCGACAAAAUCUUUUCAUUUGUUUUCAUUUGUUGGCAGCUGAGCAGAUGGUCAGGCAGUGAUGUGGUCUUUGCACAGAGAUGAUCCAGGUGCAAGAAACUGAGGUGCAGCAUCUCCUUCCAGGACUGUGCUGCUUGAACCAGCUUGAAACAGCAGCUGAAGGUACCUGAAUUUUACCAACCAGAGAAAGUUCACAGAGCUCUACAUCUUGAUGGUUUGGGUUUUUUUAAAAUCCAGGGGUAGGUGACUCAUAAUCAAACCAUAAAAUUUUAGGUGACUCUAUAUAUGGAACACGUCUUAAUUGUACAGUUCAAAAUUCUUAUGCGAUAGUGACCAUGACAAAAAUGUCAUUUUGUCCUGCAGAAGUUUGCUCCUCCAUUUGUUAGAGAAGGAGAUACCAGUGGGCAUGCAUCUGCUCUUGGUUCCAUUGUUACUAGAAUGUAAAUUUACUUAAAUUUAUUUUUUAAGUCAGCUACCACAGAAAUACUCAUCUACUAGAUAAGUAUCUAUUUGGUAACUUUCUGCAGUGAGUUGCUUUAAAUCCAUUAGGAUCAAUUCUCCAGCAUAAGUUUCCACUACCUUUUGAAAGAAAUAUCUAAUCAAAAGGACACCACUUUUCUUGUAGCUUUGACAAGGACACAUCACAACAAAGGUGGAAAUGAAAUUAACUGAACUACUGUUGAACUUUUAAAUGUACCAAUCCUGUCGCAUUUCCUUGUAGUCCAAAGUGUGUACAAUACCCAAGUUCACAAAUUCUGGCAGCCUUUCUGCAAAACACGGAGAGAACCAGCAUGAGCACAUUUCAGCCUCUGAUGAAACUGCAAAAACCUUAACUUUUUUUGUUUCCAAAUCUAAGCCUGGCAGUUACACCACCAUUAAUGCAAGCCCAGAAAGUCAGUGGGACCAUCACACAGACAAGGAUGUGCAGAAGAUCAGCUUGUUUAAAGUUCUGUUGCUGGUGGCUUGAGCUGGUGGGCAUGAUGGCUGUGUUUGUUUUCAUAGAGUCCAAAAGAUUAAACUUCCUCAAUAAUGGUCUCCAUACUGAAACAGAGGAACAUAUUAUUGUCCAAGAUAAUGUGCAAAGUCACUUCCAAUCCAGCUGGUACUGCUCCAAAUAGAAGAGAGGAAAGAAAGGAGGUUCUAAGUUCAUGGAAUAGGAGAGAGAACAGAAACCAGACAGCAGAGUACUCCUGAGCACACCCCUAAAAAAAAAGCUAAAAGUUCUUUGAUCUAAGCACUUUCUUGGCUAAAAGGUCUUUGAGCUGCAAGCAAAAACCUAUUCUCAGCUAUUUGAUGUCCUCAGUAUUCAGGGAAACAGGAUCUUGCACAUUCUUUAUCAGUAACAGGAAUUCCAGAGAUACCUGAGCUUCCACCAUCCACCUCUCUCAAGAACACAAAACCUUGAACUUUGAUUGCUCACCACUGACAAAAAGGAUAACAGUCCAAGUUGCCCUUCUUUCCUCAAAAACCGUAGAGAUAAAGCAUUCACCCAGAAAAUGUGCUGUAUGGGCUACUAGAAAACAAAACAGUGCUUCAGCUUCUGAAAGCAUUAGAAAUCCAAACUCAGCUUUUAAAUAUAUUUCAAUCUCACAUUAUUCCAAAUUUCAUCUGAAAUUAUUCCAAAUAAAAAAAAAAUCAAACACACGUUGGGAGUAAUAAAAUUUGAUUUUUUCCAUAAAUUAAAAAAAAAAUGCAGAUCA
rnacentral:lncRNA from 1 species